GACGUAGGGCGCGAGCGUUGUCCGGAUUUAUUGGGCGUAAAGAGCUCGUAGGUGGUUUGUCGCGUUGUCCGUGAAAACUCACAACUCAAUUGUGGGCGUGCGGGCGAUACGGGCAGACUGGAGUACUGCAGGGGAGACUGGAAUUCCUGGUGUAGCGGUGGAAUGCGCAGAUAUCAGGAGGAACACCGGUGGCGAAGGCGGGUCUCUGGGCCGAUACUGACGCUGAGGAGCGAAAGCGUGGGGAGCGAACAGG
rnacentral:rRNA from 1 species